rnacentral:rRNA from 1 species
CCUACGGUGUGCAGCAGUCGAGAAUCAUUCACAAUGGGGGAAACCCUGAUGGUGCGACGCCGCGUGGGGGAAUGCAGGUCUUCGGAUUGUAACCCCCUGUCAUGUGGGAGCAAAUUAAAAAGAUAGUACCACAAGAGGAAGAGCCGGCUAACUCUGUGCCAGCAGCCGCGGUAAUCCAGAGGUCUCAAGCGUUGUUCGGAAUCACUGGGCGUAAAGCGUGCGUCGGCUGUUUCGUAAGUCGUGUGUGAACGGCGAGGGGUCAACCCGCGGACGGCCCAUGAUACUGCGAGACUAGAGUAAUGGAGGGGGAACCGGAAUUCGCGGUGUAGCAGUGAAAUGCGUAGAUAUCGAGAGGAACACUCGUGGCGAAGGCGGGUUCCUGGACAUUAACUGACGCUGAGGCACGAAGGCCAGGGGAGCGAAAGGGAUUAGAUACCCUUGUAGUC